UACGGAGGGUGCAAGCGUUAAUCGGAAUUACUGGGCGUAAAGCGCACGUAGGCGGCUUUCUAAGUCGGGGGUGAAAUCCUGGAGCUCAACUCCAGAACUGCCUUCGAUACUGGAAAGCUCGAGUCCGGGAGAGGUGAGUGGAACUGCGAGUGUAGAGGUGAAAUUCGUAGAUAUUGGGAAGAACACCAGCGGCGAAGGCGGCCAUCUGGACCACAACUGACGCUGAGGCGCGAAAGCGUGGGGAGCAAACAGG
rnacentral:rRNA from 1 species